rnacentral:ncRNA from 1 species
UUAAAAGCAUUGAAGGGAAGAGUAAUCUCUGAGUUAUUCCAAAGAGAGCCGGGGUAGGUGAAAACCGGUGUUUAUGAAAGAGAUGAAAAUGGUCUCGGAGUUUCGUGCCUGAAGGUGAUUAGGGCAUGGCGUCUGGUCCGCGUUAAGGAUGGGUUUAAAACCUUAAGGUGGAUUUCGUGAGGAAUCCAUGAAAUAGAGUGGUAACACGGAUAACUUCGUCUCUUAU